UUGAUAUUGCAAGUAUCCUUGAUUAAGUGUCCUAACAAAGCUUGGGAAAUCAAGGAAUCAAGUGGCACCUAGUAUCGGAUUACUAUGUUAAUAAUCGGGACCUAAAUCGGGAGAUCGGGUAGAAUGAGGCUCGAAAAUAUGACUAAAAAAGCUCAAGUAUGAGGCCUCCAACAAAGAGUGGUAGCCUCAAUUCAGAGCUAAAGU
rnacentral:lncRNA from 1 species